UUGCACCAAUUAUCUACCACUAAAUUACCCCAUUCAAUUAAACUAAUUGUUCUUAUCCUACAACUUUGUAGUGUUAGCAGCUCAUGACUCAACUUCAAACAAAAUUGAAACCCUAAACCCUCUUCACUGUUACGGAGCUGCUCCACCCAUCGCGACACCAAAUCGAUCAAAGAAAACCAUUUUUUACUCUCCAAUUCAAGAGAUUCCUUUUCAGUCGGGAAGGAGAUAGUGACAUUGAAGGCGGCGGUGGCGGUGGAGCUGACACCUUUUGUUCUCCGAUUGGCCGUAAAUAUCGUUCCGUGUUGGCUAACGAUCGUGCUCUACUUGAGAUGUCUUCCAUAGAUCCACUAUCUUAUUCUUCCUCAACAUUUCCAGAUCAACCUCAUAAUCUCAGUCUGUAACAGCUAUGGUCCAGCAGGCUAUGCAAUAUAUUGAUGAGACACCUGAUAUUGAAACUCAUAUUGAACUUAUCAAAACAUUGAACAGUGUAUCUGCAGGGAAGAUCUAUGUUGAGAUUGAGAGAGUUCGGUUGGUCAAGAAACUUGCCAAGAUUAAGGAAGAACAAAGUUAUGAUGAUGCAACUCAACUGAAAAUGCUUAGGAGCUUAACCUUACUCAAACCAUAAGUAGUGCUUUCCUUCCACGGUUCAGGUAAGUUGAUACUCACAUUCCUAAAUGCUAAAUAUGUUCUCAGUUUUCAUCGCAUGAUCUAGUUCAACAAGAAAUUAGUAAUAGGUGUGGGAAUAUGAUUUUUACAAUUUUGAUUCUAGUUCAAAUCCUUAUAGGUAUCCCAAAAUUCAACCUUAUAGGUAUCCUUCUUAUUGUCACAACUCAAUUAUUUGCGUAUGGGUUGGUUGGUGCAUUGGAUUAAGGAAUAGCCUGUUCUGUUUCAGAAUACAGGGCACAACUAUAUGAUUAUCUCAAGAGUAGGAUGAACACCAUAGCACCCAAUUUGACUGCUAUGGUUGGGGAGCUUGUCGGCGCUCGUCUCAUUGCCCAUGGUGGUAGCUUAAUAAAUCUUGCAAAGCAGCCUGGUACGCAAUAAGUAUCAAAUUCUACUUUCACAUCAAGCCUCCCAUUCAAUUAUCAUAUAUUGGCUUAAAAUUUCUAUAAGCAAUAACUGCAUAAAAGGGAUCUGACCCUGAAAACAAUUCAAAGAGCUUCAUGAUCCAGCCAGCCAGUGAGUUUUCUCCAUCAUUAGGUGGUGGAAGCUUUCUAAUUACCUCUGGCUCUGUGAAACCUUCCACUGAUUGGAAGUACUGAACCACAAACUGAACCCUACUGUAAGCAGUUCCUUCCCUCCAUGCACUUAUGGCUUUCUCGUAAAACAUUAUGUUGCUAAAACUCACUAUGAACACCCCUCCUGGUUUUAGCAACCUAAAUACCUCUGCAAAUACCUGUGAAUUCUCUCUUUAUUAAGUUUUUGUAUCUAAUUGUUUUUCACGGAAAAGUUAAAUCGCUACUUUAGUUAAAGGCUUUAACAAUUUGCAAUGCCACUACCUUCCCUGUUAGUUUUUUGUAAUGGAUUCGGAGCUUGGCUGUUUCCACCCUGCCAUUUGGGAUUGACAGCCUAGGUUAAAAUAAAAACCAUGGCUUAGUUGCCAUGUCAUCUUAUUCUUGUUAGUAAUGGAACUGAUUCAAUAAGCACACUUAGCUUUCUUACCUUCAAAUUUUGUCUAGGUUGAUGUGAAUGGUGGAACAAACAUGAACGGCGAAUUGCUACUCUCGAGUUUGACCGUGACACGAAGUCAAUGGGUGUUAUUGUUGACACUGGUACGGGGGAAAAUUUGAUGCUGGUUAAGUGCUACCUUACCUACCGCUGGUGAUGAUGGGUGAGCACCAUGCUGUGAUGAAAGCGGUUUGAUGAAAGGACCUUGGACACCACACAGGGUACACCCCUCCCUGUAAUACUGAUUGCUACUGCUAGGG